CCUUUCGUAGCUUAGUUGUUAGAGCGUUGACAUAUAAUGUUAAAGGUCCCGGGUUCGAUUCCCGGCGAUGGCG
rnacentral:tRNA from 1 species